rnacentral:rRNA from 1 species
UACGUAGGGUGCAAGCGUUGUCCGGAAUUAUUGGGCGUAAAGAGCUUGUAGGCGGUUUGUCGCGUCUGCUGUGAAAUUUCGGGACUCAACCCCGAACUUGCAGUGGGUACGGGCAGACUAGAGUGUGGUAGGGGAGACUGGAAUUCCUGGUGUAGCGGUGAAAUGCGCAGAUAUCAGGAGGAACACCGAUGGCGAAGGCAGGUCUCUGGGCCGAUACUGACGCUGGAGGAGCGAAAGCGUGGGGAGCGAACAGG